CCAUGGCCCUGAGGGGCGGAGGGACACCAGAACCCGCCGGUGCCACGUCGGCCGUGUGAAGGGGUGGCACAAGAUGGGAUCUGGUGGCUCCUCCUUCCCUUCUGUGCGCUCUCCAGUGCCAGCCUCCGGGACCGGGAGUUCCUGGCCGUGUUCCCACAGAAGGACAAAGAGUCCUGCAGCGCGUACCUGCAGCUGCUGCUCGCCUCCUGUGGCCCUGCUGACACCCAGGUGUCAGCGGCGCUCUGCGGCGGCUCUGUCACCCAGAGCAUCACCCCGAGGCCAGACGUCACUGUGCCCUUGCCCUCCCUGCUAACCUGGAACUCCCUGGAAGCCACAAUUCCCAUAAAACGUUGGUGCUCCAGGCCAGUGCUGACAUCGCUGUGACGUCUGCCAGCACCAAGGGCUACACUGUGGGUACCGCUGCCCUCCUGCCUAUGGAGAGCGUGGGCACCAGAUACUGUGUGGUGACACUGCUUGGGAACUACACUUAGGGCCUGACUGAGCUUCUGGGGCCACUGGCACCACCACAGCUAUCAGCAUCACCACCACCACCACUUUCCACUGUGCAGGGGCCACCUACAUCCCUGGUGCCGUGCUCCGCCUGUUCCUGCAGCCCUGCCACAGCCCGCAGCUCCAGAGCAGCCGGGACUUCACUGGCACGGCUGUGGUGGCUGACACCCCUGUGGCUGUCCUCAGUGGCCACACCUGUGUCACGGCAUCUGCUGGCUUUGACUUCGUGGAGGAGCAGCUCCUCCCAAUGGCAGUGUGGGGGAGGAGCUACGUGAUGCCACCCAACCACUGCAAGCAGAUGUUGACUUUGUUUAUGUUUGAAGACAGCACCAUCACCUACAACACUGGGAGUGGGAAUGCCACUGUGGCCAUGGCGGCAGGGGAGGUGCAGACAUUCGUGGUGAACCACAACUCCCACCUGUACAUCAGCGCAGAGGUGGCAGUGCAGGUGGUGUUUUUCUGCAGUGGGUCAUUUUGUCAGAUGCCUUCCUCCUUGUUGUCCCACCUGUCACUGCCCAAUGCACUGCGUUCUGCUUCAGCAAUGUGCCCAGCUAUCCCGGUAGGUUCCAGCCGGGCUGUGCACUGCCGAGGCCAGGAUAGUCUCAGCGGAGGCUCAGACUUGGUCCGAUCUCCCAAGCUGUUCCUAGCUGCAGGCAGCCAAGCAAGCUCAAGUGAUUUCAGCUCUUAGUGAUUAUCAGGUCUUUUGGCUUGCUUGUGGCCGUGGCAGCAGACACAGGGAGAGAGAGGAGAAGCGCUGUAUAAGGUUCCGCAGGAUUCUUUAUUAGGGUGUCCCACGAAGGUUCUCUGUGACAGCUCUUCUGGCAAACCAGGCAGAAUUAGGGGUUUUUAUACCCUAUAGGGGUUUUGGAAACUGUCCAAUAGCAAGGGUCAGGGAAAAGUGACCAAUAGGCUUACAGAGAGAUAAGCAGGGGUCCGAAAGGCGGAAGAGAGGGGUUCCUAAGGCCCGAGUCAUCGUGACUUGGCAUUUCCUAGCUCAGGCUUCUGACCCCCAAGGAGGUCUUGCAGGCCCUGUGCCUGCUACACCCAGCCAAUACAACCAUGCCAUUCUUGUUGCACCCACCACCGCCACUGCUACCACCACCCUCAACCAUCAGUCAGACAACACCGGGGCGUGGCAGGCCAUUGCUGGCACAGAUUUCUCCUGGGCCAGCAUCACUGUGAGUGCAGCAAUGCAGAGCACUGAGAACUUGUGGGUGCCCACGGGGCUCCUGGUGUUUGGGUUCCAGAGUCACACUGGAUAUGGCUUCCUGGGGCUCUGUGCCACCAGUGUGUACAGUCAGUCCAUUAUUGUGUCACCCCAGUGGCUGGGUGUUGUGCAGUUGACCAUUCAUGGGUUUUUCCCUUUUUUUCAGUCCCCACACCAGUCUCCUGUGAGGAUUUGGUGUGCGAGGAGAGGUGUGAGAUGGUGGAUGGACAACAGGAGUGCAUCCAGGAGACUUUCUCCAUCUGUUGGCUCGCUGGCGGGCCACACUACCACAGUUUUGAUAGAAAAACAUUUGAUUUCAUGGGAACAUGUGCCUACACCUUGACCACCAUCUGCAAUCCUGAUCCUACCCUUCCUGCCUUCUCUGUUGAGGUCCAAAAGGAGGAAAAGGAGAACUCCAAAGUUUUCUCCACCGGCUCCAUCACCAGUCCCAUAGACAACAUCACUGUCACCACAGUCCUGUCAGAGAAUGGGAUAGUGAGGUGUCCUGGUUUAGGGCAAAUUUGGGAGAAAACCUCCAAAGGGGGCCCCUAACAAAGCAAACCCACACGGCCCCUCCCCCCAACUUGUUCAGGAAGGAUUCCUCAGAGAGAAGUGGGAAGAAACUGUUUAUUUAACAGGCAAAGCACUCCCCAGCACAGAAAAUGAACAAUACCGGAUGACAGAACUCAUUCGCUGCUCUGAAGAGAUGACAAAUUCAGAACGUCUCUCCAGUGGGUGGUCGCUCUGUUAUCAGUUCCUUUGGCGCUGGGAAAGGCUGCAGAGUGGGCCCUGGCAGGCUGCAAAAUGUUCUCGGUGUUUCCCUGGGUGCCAGUCUGGAGCAGGUUCAAAUGGUUCCAAGAAGAGGGAAAGAAAAACAGUCCAUGGAAGGCUCGGAUUGCCUCAGCUAGCUAAACUAACUAACUAAAAAGCAAAAGGAGCAAAAGGAGCAUGAUGUUCUGCCCCAUCCAUGCCCAGACAUCAACAGUCCAGCCAAAUGUGGAGGAGUGAGUGAGGCUAUUAACAAAAACUCUGUGCUUCUUCUCCCCGCCUUUGCUCUGAGAGCCAGUUUUGAAGGCACAGAUUAGAAUAUCCAUAAACAGAACACAUGAUUGGGGAUACAAGCAUCAUAAAGUCACCCUAGGACAUAAGGGUAAGCAAGAAUCAAGUAAUUUUUAAAAAAUUUUGCUGCAAUUACAUAUUUAGCAAUGAUCUAGAGGGUCUUUUCCUAAAUAAUUCCAGGAUUUGCUGAUGUGUAGGCAACCCUUGUAUGAAGACACCUCAAAUCUUCUUACACCCCAUGUGCGGCCCGAUUUUGGUGGAUUUUGGUCGUUUUGAUGAUUGUUGUCCUCCAGGUGAGCAGCCACCACUCGUGCCUCCCCAUGUCCCUCUCCCAUGGGAAGAUCCACGUCUACCAAUCCAUGUUGAUCCAAUCAAAUUUCAAGCUGAAGGUACUCUACAACUGAGGUGAUCAUGUAGUGAUCAAACUUCUGGCUGCUCUUUCUGGAAAAGUCUGUGGAACGUGCACGAACAACAGGGACCUCUGGGAUGAUGCUCUCCCUUCUGAUGGUAAACAGGCGUGGGAUAUUGUGGAGUUUGGGCGGAGCUGGAAGGUGACCAGUGAGAGUGGCCGCUGCCAGGAUACCCGCGAUGGGGAGUGUGAGCUGUGCGGAUGGAACCAGGCGGUGACAUACAAGGCAGAGACCUGGCGUGGGAAGUUGUCUCGACAUUCUGGGCCAUUCUGGUCAUGCCAUGACACUAUCUCCCAAUAUGUACAUGAAGAACUGUAUCUACGACCUGUGUGCCAAUGAGGGGCAUCGUGACGCACUGUGCCGUGCCUUUGAGAUCUAUGCUGAUGACUGCCAGGAGGAGGGGAUCGAUCAAUGUUUCUGAUUGGAGGAAGCAGUGGGAUGUUACUGAUGAGCAGUAGGUUGCGGCAGUGCAGCAGAAGCUGCUGAAGCCACAGCCGUCCCAAGACCAUCUCCUCUAGGAAGGGAUAGCCCAGCCAGCACCAGAUGCUCACAUCACCAGGUGGUAUCUUGCAGGUCAGUGGAAAAAGCAGGCAGGAGGGGUUCUUUGUGUAGAGUUCCAGUGGUAGCUUAUUGCACCUACAUACUGAAGAGUCCAGGAACAAAGAACAAAGGCAGAGCCAGGGUUUUAUAUGGGAUAAGGGAGGAGGAGCAUCAGGUCUGAGGGCCAAUAGAUAGAGGGACCAGGGAUGCUGCAAAGGCAGGGUUACAGGGGACAACCAACUGGGAAUCAGGGGAGGAGUAGUAAGGAAUGGGGAUGAAUGGGAUAAAUGUGAGUGAGAAACAUUCUGGAACUGGGGAGGAGAACAGGAGUGAUGUAAGUGGGAUCAUUAACAUAACAAGGCAAGGAACUGGGGGAGCGUAUAUCCCUGGGUCACCCUGUCUUAAAGAUGAGUGUCUUCCCAGAGCAUCCCAGUCUCAGCAUCCUCUUCAUUUCCUGGGACGCAACAGUUGGUCAGCCUCCCUUAUUACCACAGUGAAAGGAAGAUUGUUGUCUAUCGAAAUGGGCAGGUGUAGAGACCAAUUUUGGCCUUAUUGUCACCUACAACUGGCACAGCCACGUCACUGCCAAAUGGCUUUGCCAACCCCUGUGCAGGCUUUGUAGGAACUACAUUGGUGCUGCCAGCAAACAACAUGAUGAUGAGGAACAACCAUGUGACAUCAGACCCAGAUGCCUUUGGGAGCAGCUGGAAGGUCAUGGAUGUCCCAGGAUGUGGUGAGAGGUAAACAGUGGAAUGUUCCAGCACUCUUGCACCUUCCUGGCUGCAGCAGGAAGUCUCUGGGAUGGGGUGUGAAAUUAUUUUGGAAGUGGAUGGACCCUUUAGAGCCUGUCAUGGUCGUGUUGAUGGCCACCAGUACUUCCAGAGCUGCAUUCAUGACUCCUGCCUGUUCCCUGAUCAGGAAGAAGGGAUGUGUCCAGUCAUUGCCCUCUACACCACCACAUGCCAGGCUGCUGGUGUGUCCAUCGGGAGGUGGAGGACAGAUAAUUUCUGCUGUAAGUUGGGACAAUGGGAGGGUUUUUCCUUCAGCAGUAUCCAAAGGAUCCUCAAGUCUGCUCCAAAUAUGUGUAUGAACAACCCAGAGGUGCAUGGGAAUCCCAGCCAAAGUCGUGGUUGAUCCCAUAAUCCACCCAACAUAAACCCUUCCUAAGGAAGAAGUUGUCUCAUCUGGAAUAAUUUAGCCCCUCAAAAUCUCCGAUUUCCUGGUGUUGGCUACAAAGUGGAUGAUUUAGAGGGAGAACCACCAAAAAAUGCACCAAAAAUAGUGGGACUGGGUUAAAGGGAUCCAGCCUGGAGGUCAGUUGAGGUCCACAGGACCCAGUGUGGAGCGAUCCCAUUCUUUGAGGGAGUGCUACAUUUUUCUCCAUAAAAAUGAGAGAAAUUGGGUGGUUUAGUGGCAAAAAUUCCCACUAUAAUGGGCUGGGAUAUUCCUUAUGGAUGAUCAUUGGAUCAUCAUCAGAUAAUCAUUGGAUCGUUGUUUGACAAUGUCCCUUACCACAUGCACAGGGAUGAAAACUGAGAGUUUGCCAUGGGCUAAAAAGCUCUGUAUUUGGUGAAGUUUGCACUUGAAUUCCAGGAAACUUCCAGUAUUUAGCUUGGAAUUUCCUGGUUCCUCAUGAAUCCCUUUGUCUCCUGGCAGAUAUUCCCUGUCCUUCCAACAGCUGUUAUGAGCUCUACUCCCACACCUGCCAGCACACCUGAGGCGCUGCCACAUGCCAAGGGCAGUGCUGCGAGGGCUGCACGUGUCAGGAUGGCUUCAUGCUCAGCAGCAACAAGUACGUCCCAUGUCCCAUUGUGGCUGCAGCCACCACAGAGUCUACCACAAAGAGGGGGAGACAUUCUACCCCACAGAGCAGGAAAUGUGCCAGUGCCUCUGGUGGCAUGUUGGUAUGGAAUUGUGUCCUGCCAGGAUGAAUAGUAGUUUUGCCACAGUAGCAUAUACAGAAGGCAUUAACCUGAGGCCAUGGGAAAGAGCAUACUGGGGAGGGGAACACCCAGCCAGGUCAUGGUGAGAAGAGUGGGGUCAUGGGAGUCAGUAUGCUAAUAGAACUAUGCUGUAUUUGGUCAGAUUUGUGGUUCUUGUUCUCAGUUGGUUCAGUGCCUGGUACAUAUAAAGUCAUGUUCUGAGUUCGCAUUCGUGAUUGGACCCUUGCCCUCAAAAGACCCCUAUAGCUGCUUGUGUUUGCCAUGCCACCCCUGGGUCUUUGGAAUCUUGUCCCCGUACUCUGCGGUUUCCAUGUUUGUUUUUAUUGUUAUUAAAACUUCU